rnacentral:lncRNA from 13 species
CAAGGUGGUUUUGAUUUGCAUCUCUCUGAUGACCAGUGAUGAUGAGCAUUUUUUCAUAUAAUUGCUGGCCUCAUAUAUGUCUUUUUUCAUAAAGUGUCUAUUCAUAUCCUUUGCCCACUUUUGAAUGUGCUUGUUUUUUUUUUUCCUGUAAAUCUGUUUGAGUUCUUUGUAAAUUCUGGAUAUCAGCCCUUUGUCAGAUGGGUAAACUGCAAAAAUUUUUUCCCAUUCUGUUGGUUGCUGAUUCACUCUAGUGACUGUUUUUUUUUUUUUUUUUUUUUUUUUUUUUUUUUUUUUUUUUUUUUUUUUUUUUGCCAUGCAGAAGCUGUGGAGUUUGACUAGGUCCCAUUUGUCUAUUUUGGCUUUUGUUGCCAAUGCUUUUGGUGUUUUGUUCAUGAAGUCCUUGCCUACUCCUACGUCCUGAAUGGUUUUGCCUAGAUUUCCUUCUAGGGUUUUUAUGGUGCCAGGUCUUAUGUUUAAGUCUUUAACCCACCUGGAGUUAAUUUUAGUGUAAGGUGUCAGGAAGGGGUCCAGUUUCUGCUUUCUGCACAUGGCUAGCCAGUUUUCCCAACACCAUUUGUUAAACAGGGAAUCCUUUCCCCAUUGUUUUUGUCAGGUUUAUCAAAGAUUGUAUGGUUGUAGAUAUGUUGUGUUGCCUCCGAUGCCUCUGUUCUGUUGCCUCCGAUGCCUCUGUUCUGUUCCAUUGAUCUAUAUCUCUGUUUUGGUACCAGUAUCAUGCUGUUUUGAUUACUGUAGCCUUGUAGCAUAGUUUGAAAUCUGGUAGUGUAAUGCCUCCUGCUGUGUUCUUUUUGCUUAGAAUUGACUUGGCUAUGCGGGCUCUCUUUUGGUUCCAUGUGAAGUUUAAGGUGGUUUUUUCCAGUUCUGUGAAGAAGGUCAUUGGUGGCUUGAUGGGGAUAGCAUUGAAUCUAUAAAUUACUUUGGGCAGUAUGGCCAUUUUCACAAUAUUGAUUCUUCCUAACCAUGAACAUGGAAUGUUUCUCCAUCUGUUUGUGUCCUCUCCUAUUUCGUUG